UUCCCCUCACACAGUAGGCUCUUGAUAAACACUUGUGAAUCAGUUAACUGCUACUUGUCACAGGUGGGUAGAGGAAACCUGUGCUCGCUGCUGUGACUAUAGAAACCUGCAGUUCCAGGGCUGGCCGGUUAGCUCAGUUGGUUGGAGUGCAGCCUUGGAACAUCACCGCCAAGGCUUGGGCUCCCCGUACUGGCCAGCCACCAUCCUCGCCCCCCCCCAAAAAAAAUUUGCAGUUCCUAUUGGGGAGAGCAGUUGAUCUUGCUGAGGCCUAGUUGUUUCUACAAAAAUAUCUUUUUUAAACACAGAAUCAAAGAUGGACACUGGUGUACUGACAUGUUACAUGUCGCUACCAUGUCGUGUAUGAGGCUACUGAAGUAAGUAACAUAACUAAUGAGGUCUUCUGCUCCUGGUAAUGGUGGAUAGGUAAUUUGACCAUCCCACUGAGAGCAACUAGAAAGGCUGUACAAAAUAUUUUGAAAAUCUGUUUGAAGGCAUCAGACAGCUAACAUGACAAGAAUUACUGGACCACCAGGACCACUGAGGAGGGGUCAGAAAGCCCUGGGAGGUGGGCUUAGUGUUAUGGGCCACUGUUCUCCAUUUGCAAAACUUGGAGGCAGCCCAAAAGCUGAUUGGUGAUUUUUGACAGCCUUCCAGAAGUAGGGGAUAGGGCCUGUCAAAGGGUGGUAGACAUGGGGGUGUCCCUCACUUUGGGCUGAGGCCCUCAGUCCUUUGUACCCCAGCAAUCAAAGUGAACCAGAUGUAGGAAAUAGGAAGGCUCUUUCAGGAGAUUGCAGGUCAGCUUCCAGUUAUCUCAAUCUUUGAAAUUAGAUUAAGGUGAUCAGACUGGUAGUUUCCAUAAACCCUUGGCAUAAGCAAACAAAAACCCUCUCUAGAGGAAGAUAUCAUCAUCUUAAACCUCCAAUUAUCCUAGGAAUAAUUUUGCUAAUAUUCUUUUCUAAUAUUGAUCACAAAAAAAAUGUAACCAGGCAUAUGAAAUACGAUAAUAAGAAAACUAGCAAAACAACAGACAAUGGAAACGGGCCCAUAUUGGCUAGAGAUAUUGGUGCUAUCAAACAUAGACUAACGGGGCCGGCCCGUGGCUCACUCAGGAGAGUGCAGUGCUGAUAACACCAAGGCCACGGGUUCGGAUCCUAUAUAGAGAUGGCCAGUUGGCUCACUGGCUGAGCGUGGUGCUGACAAACAGACUAACUGCUUACUGUGUUCUAGGAAAUAUACAAUUUUAGGAAUUUCAACAGAUAACUGGACAUGUAAAAAAAAGUCUAGAAUUUUUUUUAAAAUCCAAUAACCAAAAUUAAGAAUUCAGUGGAAGGUUUUAACAGCAGGGUUACUCAAUGGUGAGAGUGCAGUGUUAAUAACACCAAGGGCAAGGGUUCUGAUCCCUCUUCCAGCCAGCUACCCCCCCCAAAAGAACCAGAAAACUGGGAGCUAGGCAUACCAAAUAGGUGUGUAAGAUCGCAAUACAAAACCUUAUAUGAUAUUACUGAGAGAAAUUAAAACAAAGUCAUGGGGCCAGAAAACUACCACCCACAGGCCGAAAUCAUUCAGCAGCACCUGAUUUAUUAAGACUCAGGAGUCUGUGAGCUAAGAAUGGUUUUUAUAUUCUUAAGUGGCUGUAUAAAUAUCUACAUAAUUUUCUCAAUUUUGCCUCAGCCACACACCACAAAGCCUAAAAUACUUAUUAUCCAGUCAUUUAAGAAAAAAGUUUGACUCCUCAUACUGUCAAGAUGUCAGCUUUCUGCAAACUGAUGUAUAAAUUCAAUAAAACCUCAAAAACCCAA